rnacentral:rRNA from 1 species
GAUGAACGCUGGCGGCGUGCCUAAUACAUGCAAGUCGAGCGAACAGAUGAGGAGCUUGCUCCUCUGACGUUAGCGGCGGACGGGUGAGUAACACGUGGAUAACCUACCUAUAAGACUGGGAUAACUUCGGGAAACCGGAGCUAAUACCGGAUAAUAUAUUGAACCGCAUGGUUCAAUAGUGAAAGACGGUUUUGCUGUCACUUAUAGAUGGAUCCGCGCCGCAUUAGCUAGUUGGUAAGGUAACGGCUUACCAAGGCAACGAUGCGUAGCCGACCUGAGAGGGUGAUCGGCCACACUGGAACUGAGACACGGUCCAGACUCCUACGGGAGGCAGCAGUAGGGAAUCUUCCGCAAUGGGCGAAAGCCUGACGGAGCAACGCCGCGUGAGUGAUGAAGGUCUUCGGAGCGUAAAACUCUGUUAUGAGGGAAGAACAAAUGUGUAAGUAACUAUGCACGUCUUGACGGUACUUAAUCAGAAAGCCACGGCUAACUACGUG